rnacentral:rRNA from 1 species
AUUGAACGCUGGCGGCAUGCCUUACACAUGCAAGUCGAACGGCAGCACGGGAGCAAUCCUGGUGGCGAGUGGCGAACGGGUGAGUAAAGUAUCGGAACGUGCCCAGUCGUGGGGGAUAACGUAGCGAAAGUUACGCUAAUACCGCAUACGAUCUAUGGAUGAAAGCGGGGGAUCGCAAGACCUCGCGCGAUUGGAGCGGCCGAUAUCAGAGUAGGUAGUUGGUGGGGUAAAGGCUCACCAAGCCGACGAUCUGUAGCUGGUCUGAGAGGACGACCAGCCACACUGGGACUGAGACACGGCCCAGACUCCUACGGGAGGCAGCAGUGGGGAAUUUUGGACAAUGGGCGAAAGCCUGAUCCAGCCAUGCCGCGUGCAGGAUGAAGGCCUUCGGGUUGAAAACUGCUUUUGUACGGAACGAAAAGGUUUGGGCUAAUAAGCUGAGCUCAUGACGGUACCGUAAGAAUAAGCACCGGCUAACUACGUGCCAGCCGCCGCGGUAA